GAUGAAGAACGCAGCGAAAUGCGAUACGUAAUGUGAAUUGCAGAAUUCAGUGAAUCAUCGAGUCUUUGAACGCACAUUGCGCCCCCGGUAUUCCGGGGGGCAUGCCUGUCCGAGCGUCAUUGCUGCCCUCAAGCACGGCUUGUGUGUUGGGCCUCCGUCCUCCUCCCGGGGGACGGGCCCGAAAGGCAGCGGCGGCACCGCGUCCGGUCCUCGAGCGUAUGGGGCUUCGUCACCCGCUCUUGUAGGCCCGGCCGGCGCUUGCCGACACAUCAAUCUUUUUUCCAGGUUGACCUCGGAUCAGGUAGGGAUACCCGCUGAACUUAAGCAUAUCAAUAAGCGGAGGA
rnacentral:misc_RNA from 1 species